AUCUUCAUGCAAAACUCGGAAAUGGAACCGAAGACCCAGGUCCCUACAUGAAUGUAACAGAUUGGCCUGUGAUCGGUAAUGUCACAAAGAAACUAUGGCGAUACAGCUAUCCUGGACAGUGUGGGAUUAUGUUAUAUCCCUGGCUUGGUAAAACGCAGUGCGAGAUCCAUGUGCGAGAAGAAGGAAUUC
rnacentral:lncRNA from 1 species